AUUUAUUUAGUUUAAUAAAAACAUUAUAUUUUCAUUGUAAAAAUACUAUCAAUAGUAAUAAAUG
rnacentral:tRNA from 1 species